UACGGAGGGUGCGAGCGUUGUUCGGAAUUACUGGGCGUAAAGAGCGUGUAGGCGGUUUGGCAAGUCAUAUGUGAAAGCCCUUGGCUCAACCUAGGAAGUGCAUUUGAGACUGCCAUUCUAGAGUAUGGGAGAGGAGAGUGGAAUUCCCGGUGUAGAGGUGAAAAUCGUAAAUAUCGGGAGGAACCCCCGUGGUGAAGGCGACUCUCUGGUCCAAUACUGACGCUGAGACGCGAAAGCGUGGGGAGCAAACACG
rnacentral:rRNA from 1 species